rnacentral:rRNA from 1 species
AAUAGAUACCCUGGUAGUCCACGCCGUAAACGAUGGGUACUAGGUUUGGUGGGUCUUGACCCCCGCCGAACCGGCGCUAACGCACUAAGUACCCCGCCUGGGAAGUACGGUCGCAAGACUAAAACUCAAAGGAAUUGACGGGGGCCCGCACAAGCGGUGGAUCAUGUGGUUUAAUUCGAAGCAACGCGAAGAACCUUACCUGGAUUUGACAUCCUCGGACAACCCUAGAGAUAGGGCUUUCGUAGCAAUACGACCGGGAGACAGGUGCUGCAUGGCUGUCGUCAGCUCGUGUGGUGACAUGUUGGGUUAAGUCCCGCAACGAGCGCAACCCUUGUCCUUAGUUGCCAGCAUUCAGUUGGGCUCUCUAAGGAGACUGCCGUGGUUAACACGGAGGAAGUGGGGAUGACGUCAAGUCCUCAUGGCCUUUAUAUCCAGGGCGACACACGUGAUACAAUGGUCGGUACAGAGGGAUGCGAACCCGCGAGGGGGAGCUAAUCUCAAAAAAGCCGAUCUCAGUUCGGAUUGGAGUCUGCAACUCGACUCCA